rnacentral:ncRNA from 1 species
NNNNNNCAUGAAACAAGAAGAGGGUUAGUGAUGAUGAGAAUGGAAAAAGGUCCAAGUUGCCUUUAUAUUACAUAUAUGGUGAAGGCAUUGCCCUCCACUCUAUGGUACCUACUUAAGUUUUAU